AGCCCGGAGAAUCUGGAUUAAUACCCCAUGGUACUAAGUUGAGGCAUUAUUGAUUUAGUUAAAGAUUCAAUCGGUAUAGGAUGGGCAUGCGUCUGAUUAGCUAGUUGGAGGUGUAACGGACCACCAAGGCGACGAUCAGUAGGGGUUCUGAGAGGAAGGUCCCCCACACUGGCAGUGAGAUACGGGCCAGACUCCUACGGGAGGCAGCAGUAGGGAAUAUUGGGCAAUGGACGAGAGUCUGACCCAGCCAUGCCGCGUGCAGGAAGACGGCGUUUNUGCGUUGUAAACUGCUUUUAUUCUGGGGAAGAAAAAGUCCAUGCGUGGAAAAUUGCCGGUACCAGAUGAAUAAGCACCGGCUUAU
rnacentral:rRNA from 1 species